UUUUUGUUUUGAUUUGUUUUUCCUUUUCCAAAGGAUGUUUUGAAGGUUGCUAUUAAACUUGUGGUUGAAAGAUAAUGAACUUAGGUAUCACUUUUGGUCUCUGCAGCCAAAUAUACCACCCCCCAAAUAUAAAUAUUGGUUCUUUUGCAGCCAGUAUCUGCAGAACAGUAAGCGAAAGAGCCGGCCCGUGAGUGUAAAAACAUUUGAAGAUAUCCCGUUGGAAGAACCAGAAGUAAAAGUAAUCCCAGAUGACAACCAGACGGACAGUGGUAUGGUCCUUGCAUCAGAAGAGCUGAAAACCUUGGAAGACAGAACCAAAUUAGCGCCAUCUUUUAGUGGACUGAUGCCCAGCAAAAGCAAGGAGUCUGUGGCAUCCGAAGGCUCUAACCAAACGAGUGGCUACCAGUCUGGGUAUCACUCGGAUGACACGGACACGACUGUGUACUCCAGCGAGGAGGCCGAACUGUUAAAGCUGGUGGAGAUUGGACCGCAAGUUGGCAGUGCAGCCCAGAUGCUCCAGCCUGACUCUGGGCCCACAUUGAGCUCCCCUCCUGUUUAAAAGGAGGCACCCACGUCCCCCACUCCUGGAAAUCACAUGAGAGGUGCUGCUCAGAUUUUCAAGUGUUGUUCUUUCCAUCACUAGGAAGUAGCCACAUUUGAUUUUCAUUUCAAAAAAAGGACCUCAGACUGCAGGGAGCCAGUCCCGUAGGCAUUUCCUGAGAAGAUGUUUGUGUCUCAAGAAUGUGUUUGUGUUUUGUCCCGGUGUUGACCUUCUGUUUAUGCAUUUAGAAAGCAUGUAUGAUGCCCCUUAUUGUGGGGCUCCCCAUGGGUUAUGACAAAAGAAGUUCAAGAAAUGGCUGCAUCCUCCACGCCGUGGCAGCAUCUGGGGAGUUGACACCUCUCUGUAAAACCAGAAGAUAAACCAGGCAAUGCAAGUGCUUUAGGGGUUGAAGACGGGAAAGACCUUUAGGGCUGAGUCCAUCUAAGCUUUGUUUGGGAUAUGGGUCCUGAGCCAAGUCUUAUGUGUGGGGUUUGGAUUGACAGAAAGGAAGAGGUUGGCUUGCUUUGAGAGCAUCCUGGAGCCUGCAGAUGCAUUGUGUUGGCUCCCGUGGAGGUGGGCAUGGGGUCUGUUAGGAAAUGUAAAGGCUUCAGAUGAGGUUACUGGUUUUAAAAGGUUGCGUGCUCUUCCCAGUUGGGCUAAAGGAGAGCUCCUUGGGCUGUUUCCGACACCUAAUGAGAGUUCCUUCCGGACUCUUACGUGUCUCCUGGCCAAGCCCCAGGAAGGAAAUGCUGCAGCUCUGGCUCUUAGUCUCCCAGGCCGAUCCUUUAUUCAGAACCCCAUAAAGAAAGGACACUCAGACGGAGGCUCCCUGUCGUGUCGAAGAGUUCUGACUAUAUAAACCAGCUUCUGGUUUCUUCUGGAUGAAUACCCCCUUAUCUGUCCUGAUGUGAUCUAUGUCUGAGCCUGAAUGCAGUAGGUUCCGUAUCAAGCUGUGGUGUCAAAGCUUCAGGAAGGAUUUGACUCCUUUGUUCCUUCUCCCCUCCCUGAACCUUCACCCUCUUUUCACCCCAAUCAGACAGUAUUUUAGUAAUUUGGCCUCUAUACUCUAGUAAGAGCUGAUUUGGUUUGUUCACUCUCUGAAUGACUAUUAGCCAGAUUUCAAAAUUAUAUAGCCAAAGUUUUAACAACAUCUAUUGUAUUAUUUAGACUUUUAACACAUCAAGCUAUUUCUACUGGUUUCUUCCCAUUGUUCUUUCCUUUUUAAAAAAGAAAAUGUAUUUUUCGUUUGGUACCAUAGUGUGAGAUGCUGGGAACCAUGACUGUAAAACAUGCUAUGGCACAUAUAUUUAUAGUCUGUUUAUGUAGAAACAAAUGUAAUAUAUUAAAACCUUAUAUUAUAUAUGAUGAACUUUGUACUAUUCACAUUUUAUACCAGUAUUAUGUAGCAUAACAAAGGCCAUAAUGCUUUCAGCAAUUGACGCCAUUUUAUUAAAAAAAAAUUGAAAAACUUAAA